UACGCACAGAGGGAGCUGAGCUUCAAAGUGCUUCAGCUGUUUAGGGUUUGGUUUUAGCUCAUGUGCUGGUUUGGAGGAGGUGGAGGCCGCGCGCGUCAAGACCGGGCGGCUUUUUUUUUUCUCUCCUCAUUGCCACUUUUUCAAAUCCAAACCACCGGAAUGAUCUGUUUACUCACCAAAACCAGACCUCAGUCCAGUGUUGCCUCCGGUGCUCCGGGGCGGACAGCAGUUGCCGCCAUGUUGCGCUCUGGUCUGGAGCAGUUUGGAGACGCGGAGUGGCUUUUACGCACAGCUGAGCUGGAAAUGUCCGCGGUGCGCGCUUCUGUUCCAAGGUGAGAAUCCAACAAGUUUUCCCUUCAAACUGAGACAAAGAAGCACAGCGGUGGAACAAGUCCUGCUGAGAGCGAAGAUGAAAGGCAGGCCAACCCUCCUGAGUCUGAGGGAAGCAGCUGAGCCUCUGGUGAUGAUGGAGAGGUGGUAAUAUUUCCUCCCGAUGACAAAGACCAGCUGUGAGCUGGAGUCAGCCUGCAGGAUGGUCUGAGGAUGGUGUGACUUCGGACUCGUCUGUGUGACGGAAGUUGAACUUUGUUAACAUCAGGAACAAGAACUCAUCCUGAUUUUUUGGGUGCAGACAUGUCCUACCAGACUCUACAGCUUCAGGAUGAAGAGUUGUCUCAUCAUCAGGAGCUGACUCAGGAUGAUCGAGAGAUUUCAGCCUCUUCCUCCUGAACCCGCCGUCCCAGAUGAUGAAGAUGAUGAAGAUGCCACAGAGGGAGUUGAUCGACGGGAUCUGAGCCAUGAAGAGGAGCCACCGGACRUUCAGUGCUGUGACUGAAGCUCCUCACGAGGAUGUUCUCGACAAACCGGAGGAGUUUAAAGCACAGAUCAGGGAGAGCCGUGACUUCUGUCUACAGAUCCGAGCAGCUUUUAAAGCCCAGCUGAACAGACGAUGAAGCUCRCAGGUUAAAACAAUGAAGCAGCUGUGAGAGGGAGGAGCUGAGGAACGACGUGGAGGAAGCAGGAGAGGUCCUGUCUGCUGAGAGCAUCGUCAGAGACCACCACCUCAGACACAGAGACCACCACCUCAGACACACAACAGAAGCACAACCUCAGUGUUGCAGAGCAAGAAGAAAAGAUCCAGAUCCUGCAUAGAGGUGCGAGCUGCAUCAUCCAUGAGCUGGAGGAAGAUUAAGACAACUGUAAAGAUUUCUGCAGGAUAAACAAAACAACAAACUAGAUUCAGCAGGAGGAUCUGGUAAACAUCAGGCUGAGGUCCAGGAAGCUCCAGCAGGAGUUUGAUGAUCUAAACAAAAGGAGUUGGACGUCAGUGAUGUUGUACUGGACACCAGUCUGGUCUCGGACUUGACAACAUUUGUACUCGGUCUUGUCUCGGGCAUUAAGGACUCAAGAUUUUAUUUCAAGACAACAGCUGUGGAMAUAUCACUAAAUUGUUAGAAUAUUGUUCAAUGUAUUUGUUAACAGUAUUUCUUUCAUUGACUGUAAAACAAAUUGAUGCAUGACUCAUUAGUAAUUAUGUAUUUUUGUUACAUUGUUACCCAUCACUCCCCUGUCAAUCACACUCAGCACUCCCAGAAAGUGAGCAGUGACGGUCUGGGAUAAGGUGACCGGAAGAUGAUCUGAAGAAACGGGGACAGUUACAGUUUCAUGUAUGCUUAUGCAUAUUCAUUUUUAAACAGCAGAAUGUGUCUGUACACUGUUGUAGCAUUUUCUAAGAGUAAUAAAACAAAUAAAGUAAUUAUAGUAGAGAGCUAAAA